GUGCCAGCAGCCGCGGUAAUACGUAGGUGGCAAGCGUUGUCCGGAAUUAUUGGGCGUAAAGCGCGCGCAGGCGGNCCUUUAAGUCUGAUGUGAAAGCCCACGGNUCAACGUGGAGGGUCAUUGGGAAACUGGGGGACUUGAGUGCAGAAGAGGAGAGUGGAAUUCCACGCGUAGCGGNGAAAUGCGUAGAGAUGUGGAGGAACANCAGUGGCGAAGGNGANUCUCUGGUCUGUAACUGACGCUGAGGCGCGAAAGCGUGGGGAGCAAACA
rnacentral:rRNA from 1 species